GUCCCUUUGGGGACAUUCGAUAAGAUUGGAAGGAUAUAGAGAAGAUUAGCAUGGCUCCUGCGUAAGGAUGGCAUGCACAAAUGGAGAAAUCAAUUUAGAUUGA